CCUCUCUGAGGACCUGAGCUGGUUAACUCUUAGUCUGAUGGGUUCUACACCCAGGCCAACACAGUCUGCCAUCUCCUUCAGACCAGAAAAGAACCCACCUUCUCUUAAGAUAUCUGGAAAAAUCACAAAAGUAUUUACAAACAAAAUACUGUAAAUUUAAGAAUGAAACUCUUGAGUUUGAAAAAUGAAAAUGUAGUGAACUGAAACAAACCCCCUCCUCACACUGGAUUUUAAAGACAAAAGUGAAAAUGAAAAUUAUUUAGAAGCAUCUUGUAAGGUUUACUAGACUAACAGAUGAAAGGGAUGCUGUCAAUCCACAUAUUUGGAUCUCAGCAAAACAUCUGAACAGAUUCUCUCAUACUAUCCUUAUGGAAAUAAGAUGCAGAGACAUGGGCUGGAUUAUAAUACAGUUACACGCUUUGGGGACAAGUUGAAGAACUAAACCCAUACCAACAAAGAGAUUUGAGGAUGCAGAUGGACAAAAUCAUGAAAAGGGUGGCACAAGUUACCAUUCAAGGACACUGUUAUUAUUUCCCUGAAGAAGUAAUGGCUUCAUUUAAGUCCUUCACCCAUGCUUUCAGCUCUUGUCAGGAAAAAUAAACAUCACUGGCAGAAAUACCAACUCUGCAAAUUAAAAGAUAACUACAAAAUGAUCUUCUUUGCACUUUAAAGCAAAUUAGAACAUCAUUCAACUAAUUUCAACAACGAAGGGAAUAUGGAUCAAGUCAAAAAUCACAGUUCCAUGGACCCUGGUAAUAAUAUCUAAAAUUAGAUCCUCAGUGGCGGCUCAAAUAAAAAUAAAUGGAAAAUGAUUGCUCAUCAGGAAAUGCAUACAUUCUCAUCUGAAACUCCCUUGCCUGUGAUAAAUUCCACUAACAAAAUGACUACUCAAGCAUUCAGAGUUUUACCUUAGAAAAUACUAUAAGAUAAUGCUUCUUAUUCCCCCCCAAAAUGUGUGUGCAGCAUGGACAAGGUAAGUAAAAAAAAUGUGACAGAAGCAUUGGAAUCUCAAACCCUCUUACCUGCCUAUAUGCUAAAUUAAGAACCUUUGAAUAUGCUGAAGAUGCAAGGCAAGCUCAGCAACUCUAAGUAUCCAUGUAAAAA